CACUUGUCACCCAGGAAGAGGGGAGAUUUGGAUCCCAUUUGGAUAUUCUGGAGAAGACACUUCUUUGCAGCAGAGGGUGACUGUGCCCAAACCAGGCACUUGCAGAGGAAUAUCCGAGUCUGGAAACUGUCCGGGGGGUUGGUCCUGCUGAUUCCUGACACCAUGUGCUGCUUGGGAGAGAAGAACUGGAGGAGCAAGACCAGGACUGACCCAUUUCAAGACCUGCCCUGGGACACCUGGGAUCUCCAGCACCUUCCUGGGAUCUCCAGCACCUUCCUGGGAUCUCCAGCCAUGGAUUUUGGGAUGCAAACAGGAGAUUUUUGCUGGCA